UACUGAUGAAUAAAACAUGCCAAGUAAUGGCGUCUAACAGGAUGGAUUCAGGACAGAUACUGUAAAGCAAAGAACCAGGAAUGGAUUUGUCUUCAACUCAGACUUCAGAUCUCUCUACUUCUUGUCAAUCUUCACAUUCUAUCGUGGCAGUCAUGGCAUCUUUCGCACUGAAAUAAGCAGUCAGGGCCCCUAAAUGGGCUGCCCAGGCUUGCCCUGACCCCUGAAGAUCAGGUGCUGAACUCACCUUUCAGAGGCUGGCAUCCCAGGGUAUGAAGCCAGCAAGCCAAACACACUCUUCAAGUUGGAACGAGGGAAGAGCCGUGGAUGGUAGAAGAUGAAGCCCACAGUCGGAUCUGUGUGGCAGGAGGAAGGUGGUCCUUCAGGCUGCUUCACUGGUGCCACCACGGAGGCCUGAACGUAGUCAUGGGAGAAGAUGCUGUGGGUUACGAGAUGAGGGGUCAGGGUGUUAGGACUGAAAGGGAACAUGUCCAGUGCGAUGUCUGUAUAGGUGCAGCACACAGAAUGCGCCUGAAAAAGGUGAUAGUUUUUUUUAUUCCAUUAGAGGCACAUGUGCUUCUGGAGAACUCUGCGAGGGCCACUGCCCUAUUGAAAAUUCUUGAAUGAUUGUUGUUUCUCAUCUUUCCCUAUUUCUCUAGGAACGAACGAGAACAUGCACCCAGCUAGACAAAAGCUGGUCAUAUUGAGAA